rnacentral:lncRNA from 1 species
UUCUUGGAAGGUUACUGAAAAAAAUCCUAUUUUCAGGCUGGAACACCUCGAAAAGUCACGGAAUUUCGGGUUCCAAAAAGCGUACGAACCCUGAAAACAGUGAUUUGAUUGAAGUAUAGGUACCCGAGAGCAGAAUGUAUACAUAGAUCAUAAAUAAUAAUAGAUCAGAUGUAAUAAUGAUGCUGAGACCAAGAAAAGAAAUAGUGAGCAAGCGUCCAGCAGGUAUACGAGCGGUUUUUUGAAGUUUUCAACCAGUUUUUUGAAGAGUCUGAACCAGUUUUUUCAAGAUCUGAAGGGCAACUCUAUUGACCAGGAAUCGCCGAUUAGCAUAUUAAUGCGAUGGAAAUUGCGACCUGCACCUUUCCGGCCGCACGACAAAUGCAUACUCGAGACGCCUCGGUGAAAUGCUUGUACCAGGCAUAAUAUGACAUGUAUCCUAGUGAAAAAAUUCGAGA